CUGAAACAGAUCAAAAUAUUGCAGAAAGUGCUUCCCAAGUACAAGGAUCCCACAACAAUGUCUUAAAUAAAAAAGAUAGCACAUAGAACACAAACUGAUAUCCUAGAAGAACUUGAACUUCAAACAGAAAAAACUUAGUCUGGAUAUUUCUUCCAUACUUCAUGACAUUUCAGUCCCAACUACAAAACUGGCAAGGCUGAGGCACAUACUGAGAGAAUAAAGCACAACUACUGCUCUGGAGCAGGACCAGCACCAUAUCCCCCCCCACCACGACCAAAUCCAGGCCUACCACCAGCACCACCACUCCUAAACGAUGGCUGGAAGUCCGAAGGAGCACCACCCUUGUCGCCGCCACCGAAGUCACCGCCAGCACGAGGGCCUCCACGGUACCCAUCCCGGUCUCCAAAUCUCGGCCUGUCACCUUCAAACCGAGGCGGGCCCCUCGGGCGAUCGCCCGGUGGACCAGCGCCGAAUGGCCGAGACGGCGGCUUCGCAGACUUCUUGAGCGUCGCCGGCACGAUCUCCGAGGGUAGAUUGAGGAAAGUGCGGAGGAACUCAAUGCCGUCGUUGGUGAGGUACCAGUAGUAGUACAUCCACGCGAAGGUCUCCCGCACGUACUCCUUCGACUUGAAGCUCUGCAUCAGCUUGAUCACCUGCAGAUUCGGCACCUCGAUGUCCGGGUGCUGCUCGAGGUUGAAGUCCUUCUUUGCGUACAGCACGCCCUCUUUGAAGAGGUACUUGCAGAUCUCAUGGCGGUUCUUCUUGGGGAUGAUCAUGGCUGCUGGAUCGAGAAGGGGCUCAGAUCGGCGACGACGGCGCAGGCGGAGAUGGGAG
rnacentral:misc_RNA from 1 species